UCGGAGGAAUCGCGAUCGAGUUCGUUGCGGGGCGUGUUUCGGCACGUCUCGCGGUGAAGACGCGACCUCUCUGGCUGACGACGGACAGUAAGCAACGGUGGCCGGCGCGGUGUCUCGCACUCCGUGUCCGGUGCCGGUCAGCGACGAUUUCUUCGGGCCUCUUUCCGACCCGUCUUGAAACACGGACCAAGGAGUCUAACAUGCGCGCGAGUCGCGGGGUUUCGAGCGUGCCACGGUGCGCUCGUUACUUCCGAAACCCGUACGUUGAAGGCGUAAUGAAAGUGAACAGGGAAGAUGGCGUUCCGAGUCCACGAACCGUGAUCGAGUAUCGCGGCCGGACGCCCGCACUCCCGGGGCGUCUUAAUGGCUCGUCGCGGAUGCGGACGGUCGUUCUUCGGGACGGUCGUCGGUCUGCGACGGACCGAGGCGCACCUAUAGCGUGCACGUUGGUACCCGAAAGAUGGUGAACUAUUCCUGGCCAGGAUGAAGUCAGGGGAAACCCUGAUGGAGGUCCGCAGCGAUUU
rnacentral:rRNA from 1 species